ACGGAGGGUGCGAGCGUUAAUCGGAAUCACUGGGCGUAAAGCGCACGUAGGCGGUGGCGUAAGUCGGAUGUGAAAGCCCUCGGCUCAACCGGGGAACUGCAUUCGAUACUGCGAUGCUUGAGUGUAGUAGAGGGUGGCGGAAUUCCAGGUGGAGGGGUGAAAUGCGUAGAUAUCGGGAGGAACACCAGAGGCGUAGGCGGUCAUCUGGGCUACAACUGACGCUGAGGUGCGAAAGCUUGGGGAGCAAACGG
rnacentral:rRNA from 1 species